rnacentral:lncRNA from 1 species
AUGAAAGCUUUGCCUGUUGCUGACUUGUUUUCCCAUUUUUUCCCAGGGGGUCAGUCUGAUGGCUGCACAAGCGCUCCCCGAACGCAGAGAGCUGUGUUCAGUGCAGCCGCUCAGUGGUGUCCGACUCUCCGCGACCCCAUGAAGCGCAGCACGCCAGGCCUCCCUGUCGGUGUGGGCUCACCAAAGCUCGCAGCUCCAUCAGUCCUGCCUGGACACAAGCAACACAGAGUGGUCUGGCAUCUGUGCUUCCCAAACAGUCACCCUUAUGCCAUCUGGUCCUCUGCCCUAUUGAAACCAGAUCUCAGAUCACAGCCUGGACACAUCGCCGCCGGGAAGCGAUGCAGAGCGGAAGGCCCAUCAAUGAUAAGUCUCUUUCUGGAUUCUGGGCUCAAAACUCCUCGGGCUUUAAGGCAGCAUGGACAAAGAUUACUUUCAAGGAACCUACCUCUUAUUCUUGAAAAAAAAAAAAAAAAAAAAGAAACAAGAGUGAGUUUGGUGGACACAGGAGAUGUUUUGAUGCUGGAGGGCCUGACACCACAGGUGAAGAAAAAGAAGUGUGUGUGUCUGGGGAUCACUAACAAGGGGGAGCCUGGUGGGCUGCCAUCUAUGGGGUCGCACAGAGUCGGACACGACUGAAGCGACUUAGCAGCAGCAGCAGCAGCAACAAGGUGAGGCUUGGGAGAGGUGUGUCUGUCUUUCUCUGAAGCAGAGGGUCAGGAAGCACAGAGAAAGAACUCAAGCCGGGAAGCAUUUUAAAGGAUCCUACUAAAAGAUAGAAAAGGAGACCCUGGACUGUGAAACAGCAUUGUUCAAGGCACUUGGUAGCAUUCCAGUCAAAGGGGAAAAGAAACAAGCAAUAAGGAUACCCUGGGCAGGCAGGAAUAACAUUGCACACGUCACUCUAAGGUCAGAUGGCGGAGCUGCAUCCAUUUGGAGUGGCGAGAGAGGAAGGAGGAGAAAUUAUCUGAAUUUGAGUCGGUGUCCGUAGGCUGUCCUGCAGGGGCAGCUGUCCUCUGGAGGACUGGUCGGUGUUUUUUGUGGAAGCCUGAUUUUCUAAAAUUAAUUUCUUUAUUCUGGCCUUAUUUGAUACUUCUUUGAGUUGUCACUAUUCAAGUAUAAGAAAUGUACAUGGUGUUAUUGAAGGACAUGCUUUCCUUCCCAGGAUAUCUAAGAUUUCCCACUCCCUCAUUCAUAAAGAAUUUCAUAACCCUAGGCUUAGAAGCUGUCUCUCCUAAAAAAAAAAAAGGCUGUCAAACCUCAGGUGAGUUUGACAAUAUAAUUUAUUUUCCAAUAUAAUUCUCACUCUAUGGGGCCUGUUUGGAAAGAUCCAUUUCUCUGGCCCCUGAUCUUCAAUAGAGUCUCCAGCCUGAAGCCUGCACUUCAGAUGUGCUAGAAAAGCAAUGAAUAGAGACACAGAACACAGCUGAGAUUCUGAUGCAGAAACAAAACAGCAAACAAAAGGGAACUCUGCAUUGAUUUUGUGUUUGUCGAGCUUAAAAAAAAAUAACUAGUGGCUGCGACAGGUAAGUCUGAGUCGAGCGAGGGGAGCUUCUGUUCUACAGGAGGUAUUAUUUAGGAGCCAGGUUCCUGCUGCUUGUGCCUCUGUCUUGGGACUGCUGAGUCCUCUCCACUAAGCUGACAGAUGGGAAGAGAGCUGAUGUGUCAUGGAGGAGAGACGGGUGGGGAGGGCCAUCAGUUACACCUGAAAGUGAUCACAUCCCUCCCGAUUGUGCUCUGCUGGCAGAACUCGGCUCACACGACCCCAUCCAGAGGCAAGAGGAUUGUGGGACGGCUGUUCCCAGGAGGGACACGGGGCUCGGCUGCUCAGGCCAUGGCCAGCUCCCAGACCAUCCUCCAGCAGGGCUGUGGGGAGGACUAGUUCCACAUCGGAAGAGACAAUUGCCAAAUUUUCAGGAAUUUUGAAAACUGGUUCUUAAACACAGCCAUUAUUUAAAAAUAAAUUAUACCAGCCUAGUAUUUUAAAAUGUUUAAACCUGCUAUUUAAAUGUUAAUUACUACUUUAAAAGUAAAUACUGACAACUCACCAGUUUUAAAAUUAUGGCAUUACCAUUUUUUUUUCUGAACUAUAUUCUUGAGGUUAGUAAUCUCUUUUCAUUAUAGGAGACUGGAAUGCAAAAGUAGGAAGUCAAGAAACACCUGGAGUAACAGGCAAAACUGGCCUUGGAUUGCAGAAUGGAGCAGGCAAAGGCUAAUACAGUCUUGCCAAGAAAAUGCACUGGUCAUAGCAAACACCGUCUUCCAACAACACAAGAGAAGACUCUACACAUGGACAUCACCAGAUGGUCAACACCGAAAUCAGAUUGAAUAUAUUCUUUGCAGCCAAGAUGGAGAAGCUCUAUACAGUCAGCAAAAACAAGACCGGGAGCUGACUGAGGCUCAGAUCAUGAACUCAUUAUUGCCAAAUUUAGACUUCAAUUGAAGAAAGUAGGGGAAACUAGUAGACCAUUCAGGUAUGACCUAAAUCAAAUCCCUUACAAUUAUACACUAGAAAUAGAUUCAAGGGAUUAGAUCUGAUGUACAGAGUGCCUGAAGAACUAUGGAUGGAGGUUUGUGACAUUGUUCAGAAGGCAGUGAUCAAGGCCAUCACCAAGCAAAAGAAAUGCAAAAAGGUGAAGUGGUCGUCUGGGGAGGCCUUACAAAUAGCUGUGAAAAGAAGAGAAACGAAAGACAAAGGAGAAAAGGAAAGAUAUACCCAUCCGAAUGCAGAGUUCCAAAGAAUAGCAAGGAGAGAUAAGAAAGCCUUCCUCAGUGAUCAAUGCAAAGAGAUAGAGGAACACAAUAGAAUGGGAAAGACUAGAGAUGUUUUCAAGAAAAUUAGAUAUCAAGGGAACAUUUCAUGCAAAGAUGGGCUCAAUAAAGGGCAGAAAUGGUAUGGACCUAACAGAAGCAGAAGAUGUUAAGAAGAGGUGGCAAAGACAGAAGAACUGUACAAAAAAGAUCUUCAUGACCCAGAUAAUCAUGAUGGUGUGAUCACUCACCUAGAGCCAGACAUCCUGGAAUGUGAAGUCAAGUGGGCCUUAGAAAGCAUCACUAUGAACAAAGCUAGUGGAGGUGAUGGAAUUCC